UACGUAGGGGGGCAAGCGUUGUCCGGAAUUAUUGGGCGUAAAGCGCGCGCAGGCGGUCAUGUAAGUCUGGUGUUUAAGCACCGGGGCUCAACUCCGGGUCGCAUCGGAAACUGUGUGACUUGAGUGCAGAAGAGGAAAGUGGAAUUCCACGUGUAGCGGUGAAAUGCGUAGAGAUGUGGAGGAACACCAAUGGCGAAGGCGACUUUCUGGGCUGUAACUGACGCUGAGGCGCGAAAGCGUGGGGGAGCAAACAGG
rnacentral:rRNA from 1 species